GUGGGUUUGUUUCUGGAUUUCAACUGGGGAAUCUUGAGGAUGAGUUUGCCCCAGAGGAGAAAUUUAGAGAACCUUACCGUCAGCUGCCCAUUUAAAGCAGGGGGUGUGUUGUGGGAGGGGGGUGGGAAGCUGGAGCUACAGGGCCAGGAGGUGUGGAAGCGGGAGACACCAGAGUAACCUAUGUGCACAGCCUCUCCGUAUACCAUGUGCUGGUGCGCCUGCUAGUAGUCGACGACAUUAGGCAAGAGAAACAGCGGCUCCUCAAGUCCUGCCCAAGGACCGUCCAGAAACCCCAGCCUCCGGUCGUCUUCUCACCGCCUCCGAUGGGAGCUGCAGAUCAGUCCAAGUUGACGGACAGGAGGCGAAAUAUGCAAAUGUUUAUGGUUUCAUCUGUACAGAAAAGGAGCUCUGGUAGCUUUGGUCAACACUUUUCAGCAGAAAAUGCUUCAAAAUACAAAGCAAGAGCUAUUUUUAAGAAAUAUCUUUUAAAUUUAUAUUAGCAGCCCCCUCACAAGACUCUAUGGUUGACUGUGCACAAAGAUAUAAUUCUGCCUGCCUGCAUGAGAUGGACCAAGUGACCUUGUAUAUUCUCUUCCUCCUCUGUGCUUGUGUCAUCUCCAUAAACAUCUGGUGGAUGGCAGACAGCUGAG